AUAUAGCUCCGUAGUAGAGCGUCUGCUUUGCAUGCAGGAGGUCCGUGGUUCAAUUCCUGGUAUCUCCG